AAGACAUGGGCUGAGGUUGCUCCCAGAGGAAAGCCAGAUCCCAGCAGGGCUGAGAAUGAAAGGCUGUCCCUCGAUGCAGGGAAGGCUGCUCAGUGCCCAGAUUCACACCUCAGCCUCGAGCCCAUGCACAGCCAGCAGUUCUCUCUCAGACCCUAGCUGGCAGCUCUGCCCUGUGCCUGUGCCCUGGGGGUUUGUGUGUGUGAGCCUGUGAGAGAGCCAGGGCUCGGCGCUGCGGGAGCGCCGGGCUGCGUUCAGGAGCGCGGCUCCAGCCUGCACGGCGCUGUGCAUUUCAUCCUCCCGCUGCGUGCACAAAGCUGACUGCUCCUGCUCUCUUUGAAGCAGCCGCGGUGCCCCGGAAGGCUGCUCGUGAGGAAACAACCCCUGUGCCCACUGCCAAAGCGCCAGAGCUCCCAGCACCCAGAGUGCCUGAGACGCCUGAAGCUGAGCUCCUGGAAGAGGAGGAAGAGCUGGAAGCAGCAGAAGAGGUGGCAGCAGUAGCUGAGCCUGGAGAGCCAGAAGUCUCUCCAGCUGAAGUGCCUGAGGUGAUUGAGGUGGAAGAGGCAGAAGAGGAGGUGCCAGUGGUCAUUC